GAGUUUGAUCCUGGCUCAGAUUGAACGCUGGCGGUAUGCCUAACACAUGCAAGUCGAACGAGGUAGUAAUACCUAGUGGCGGACGGGUGAGGAAUACGUAGGGAUCUGCCCUUAAGUGGGGGAUACCCGGGGAAACCCGGAUUAAUACCGCAUGAUCUCGCAAGAGCAAAGAGGGGGACCGCAAGGCCUCUCGCUUUUGGAGGAACCUACGUCGGAUUAGCUAGUUGGUGAGGUAACGGCUCACCAAGGCGACGAUCCGUAACUGGUCUGAGAGGAUGAUCAGUCACACCGGAACUGAGACACGGUCCGGACUCCUACGGGAGGCAGCAGUGGGGAAUAUUGGACAAUGGGCGAAAGCCUGAUCCAGCAAUAUCGCGUGUGUGAAGAAGGCCUUCGGGUUGUAAAGCACUUUAAGUUGGGAAGGAAAAGCUUCACCUAAUACGUGGAGCCUUGACGGUACCGACAGAAUAAGCACCGGCUAACUCUGUG
rnacentral:rRNA from 1 species